UGCCAGCCGCCGCGGUAAUACUGGUUGUGCAAACGUUGCUCGGAAUUACUGGGCGUAAAGCGUGCGUAGGCGGAUCGACAAGUUGGGGGUGAAAUCCCGGGGCUUAACCCCGGAACUGCCCUCAAAACUGUCGAUCUAGAGACCGGGAGAGGUAAGCGGAAUUCCUAGUGUAGAGGUGAAAUUCGUAGAUAUCAGGAGGAACACCGAUGGCGAAGGCGGCUUUCUGGACCGAUACUGACGCUGAGACGCGAAAGCGUGGGGAGCAAACAGGAUUAGAUA
rnacentral:rRNA from 1 species